UACAGAGGGGUGCAAGCGUUGUUCGGAAUUACUGGGCGUAAAGGGCGCGUAGGCGGCCUUCUAAGUCGAACGUGAAAUCCCCGGGCUCAACCCGGGAACUGCGUCCGAUACUGGAAGGCUUGAAUCCGGGAGAGGGAUGCGGAAUUCCAGGUGUAGCGGUGAAAAUGCGUAGAUAUCUGGAGGAACACCGGUGGCGAAGGCGGCAUCCUGGACCGGCAUUGACGCUGAGGCGCGAAAGCCAGGGGAGCAAACGGG
rnacentral:rRNA from 1 species